rnacentral:rRNA from 1 species
GGGCUUGACAUCCCACGAACCUGCUGAAAGGCAGGAGUGCCCGCAAGGGAGCGCGGAGACAGGUGCUGCAUGGCUGUCGUCAGCUCGUGUUGUGAGAUGUUGGGUUAAGUCCCGUAACGAGCGCAACCCUUGCUUCCAGUUGCCAGCGCGUAAAGGCGGGGACUCUGGGGGGACUGCCGGUGAUGAACCGGAGGAAGGCGGGGACGACGUCAAGUCAUCAUGGCCUUUAUGGGCAGGGCUACACACGUGCUACAAUGGGGCGUACAGAGGGUAGCGAACCCGCGAGGGGGAGCCAAUCCCAGAAAGCGCCUCUUAGUCCGGACUGGAGUCUGCAACUCGACUGCGUGAAGUUGGAAUCGCUAGUAAUCGCGGAUCAGCACGCCGCGGUGAAUACGUUCCCGGGCCUUGUACACACCGCCCGUCACAUCACGAAAGCUGGCUGUACUCGAAGUCGCUGAG